rnacentral:rRNA from 1 species
AUUGAACGCUGGCGGCAGGCUUAACACAUGCAAGUCGAGCGGAGCGAGGGUGCUUGCACCUUAGCUUAGCGGCGGACGGGUGAGUAAUGCUUAGGAAUCUGCCUAUUAGUGGGGGACAACAUUCCGAAAGGGAUGCUAAUACCGCAUACGCCCUACGGGGGAAAGCAGGGGAUCUUCGGACCUUGCGCUAAUAGAUGAGCCUAAGUCGGAUUAGCUAGUUGGUGGGGUAAAGGCCUACCAAGGCGACGAUCUGUAGCGGGUCUGCGAGGAUGAUCCGCCACGCUGGGACUGGAAGACGGCCCAGACUCCUACGGGAGGCAGCAGUGGGGAAUAUUGGACAAUGGGCGGAAGCCUGAUCCAGCCAUGCCGCGUGUGUGAAGAAGGCCUUUUGGUUGUAAAGCACUGUAAGCGAGGAGGAGGCUACUAGUAUUAAUACUACUGGAUAGUGGACGUUACUCGCAGAAUAAGCACCGGCUAACUCUGUGCCAGCCGCCGCGGUAACAC